CAGAUUAUACUCACUAUUAUGUGCCAUCCAGACAUAAGCGUUCCACAGUAAGAGUGUCUCCAGAGGAGAAAGGAUUCGGAGGGCUCUUCCCCUGGUGGGGAACUGUGAACAACGCACACAGGAUAGAUGAGAUUGCUCUGGAACUGGAAAAUUUAACAGCUUUAGUGGGUGAGGGUUUUUUAUCUCUUUCUCCCAGUAUUCAGGGCCUCAGAAAUGUGGCUCUGCAGAAUAGGAUGGCUUUAGACUUGAUGCUCGCAAGUCAAGGAGGUGUUUGCCACAUAAUCGGAACAGAUUGUUGCACAUACAUACCGGAUAUUUCUGAUAAUAUGACGCAUAUAGUUUCCCAUCUAAAUGACCUAUUGUUCGAGGAGAAGAACAAAGACUCUCAAAUUCCUGAAGGAUGGAAUUGGGGGUCAUGGGUAACUCUAACGGGUUGGGAAAAUAUGUUGUUGAAAUUUUUGACACCUAUUCUGAUUUCAUUUUAUGUUUAGAGGUUGUUGAGCCUUUUAGUCUCAAAGGGGGGAUUGUAAUGGCUGUUUUUAUUCUUGUGUAAUGAUUAAUGGAUGAAACAGACAUGUAUGUUGAAAGAGGAAUGAACAGAUGUGGUUCUCGUGGGUUUAACUAACUUUAUGAGUGUUGUUUAAAGGUAGUAGAUGUUUAUGGCCUUCCUCCUUUGUUUGACACUUGACAAAUGAUCACUGCAGGGGUCACUCAAAGGGGGUUUGAUCAGAGGGGUGCAGGGAUUCCUUACGUGUAUACAGGAAGGGGGUCUUUUGUGUUGUAAACGAAGAUAAGGGACCUCUGAGACAGAUGGUACAUGAAAGGGGUCACUCCAGGGGGCUGAGACAGAGAUGGAGACACGAUGUCUAUACACCUUGAUCAUAGAUCAAAGAAGUUUAUUGAUAACCUUUUGCUUCUCUAGGGGAGGGGCUUGUAGUGUAUAAAGAUGUUCAUUCUCCUCUAAGUCUUUGCUCAUUGUAUGAUGUCCUUCCGGUGAUUUGUACUCUGAGUCCACCUGCAGGUGUAAAUUAAACUUACCAAAGAGA